rnacentral:rRNA from 1 species
UACGUAGGGUGCGAGCGUUGUCCGGAAUUACUGGGCGUAAAGAGCUCGUAGGUGGUUUGUCGCGUUGUCCGUGAAAACUCACAACUCAAUUGUGGGCGUGCGGGCGAUACGGGCAGACUGGAGUACUGCAGGGGAGACUGGAAUUCCUGGUGUAGCGGUGGAAUGCGCAGAUAUCAGGAGGAACACCGGUGGCGAAGGCGGGUCUCUGGGCAGUAACUGACGCUGAGGAGCGAAAGCGUGGGGAGCGAACAGGA